AAUGUAACUACAGGUGUGGGAUGACGAUGACUGUGCUUAUGUGUGUGGCCAGUAUGGUAACUGUCUGGCAACACCUACACGUCAGUAAAGUCAAAUAUUUCGCUGGCCGACGAAAAUAAGUUUCUCUUCAUCAAUUACUAUGACCACGUUUGAGAGUGGAACAGUAACUCAUCACAAUUUUUUUUUUAUCCCUUUCCUAAGUGUGUCAGACAUGUAUUCUGAGAUGAGUGAUACGCAGCUGGACGCCCUGGUGCUGGAGAUCCACAGGAUCCAUCUGUGUGGAUACCGGAUGUUGCGAUACAAUCUCCAGGGAAGAGGCCAUCUGGUCCAAAGUAUGUUCACCUACCUCUUGUACCUAUAAGCACCCGACUGAUGCUGUUGUCUGUUCUUGAUUUUCUGAUUUUCUGUACUAUGUGAAGUUCACAGAGUACGCCAAUCCUUAAAAAGAGUGGACCCUGAGGGCACAGAACAAAGAGCCCUGGCCAACCGAACUCUACAUAGGCGGCAAUAUUCAGUUCCUGGGCCCAACUGUAUGUGGCAUAUUGAUGGCAAUCACAAAUGAAUACGAUGGAGAUUUGUUAUCCACGGUGGGAUAGAUGGCUUCAGCCGCCUAGUGGUGUUCUUGUCAGCAGCCACCAACAACUGUGCCACAACAGUGCUGGAUGCUUUUCUUGGAGCUGUCAGGCAGUACGGUGUGCCAUCUCGUGUCCGGUCGGAUAAGGGGAGAGAACUUUGAGGUGGCAUAUUACAUGGUGGACAACUGUGGACCCAACCGCAAUUCCCACAUAACUGGGAGGAGUGUGCAUAAUCAAAGAAUUGAGCGACUUUGGAGAGAUGUUUACACACAAGUGCUCGAUCUCUUCCACGAAAUGGAAGCAUCAUGGAUGUUGAAUCCAGACAGUGAGAUCCACCUCUUCGCUCUCCACUGGGUUUUCCUGUCAUUGGUCCAGAGCCAUCUCAGGCAUUUCCAAGAUGCCUGGAAUUUUCACAGCCUGAGGACUGAAAAUAGCCAGUCACCCUACCAGCUGUGGCUACGCAACAUAAGUGCUGUUGCUGAUCCCCUAGAGGUUGACGAUCUUUAUGGUGCCAGUGUAGAUGGUCCGGACCUGGAAGACCUGGCUGGAGUCGACGUUCCGGAGAUCCAACUACCACGUGACCUGACUGCUGAGGAGCUCUCACGAUUGCCUCAGCGAAAUGUUUCACUGAAUGACGCUAUUGCUGUUUACAGCUCAGUUGUUGAGCAGUUACAAGACAUUUUUCAAACAGCAUGAUGUUCUCCCCAAGGAUUUGUAAAGAUUUGUUAAUAUUUGUAAAUAUAUAUGAAUCUACCUUCCCCUUUA